GGAAGCGUAACUCAGAGGCAGAGUAACUGGUUUACACCCAGUAAGUCGGGAUUUCGAAAUUCCCCGCUUCCAC
rnacentral:tRNA from 1 species